ensembl:misc_RNA Metazoa_SRP Metazoan signal recognition particle RNA
GCUGGGCACGGUGGCACACACCUGUAGUCCCAGCUACUCAGGAGGCGGAGAUAGGAGGAUCAAUUGAGUCCAGGAGUUCUGGGCUGUAGUGUGUUAUACCGAUCAGGUGUUCACACUAAGUUUGGCAUCAAUAUGGUGACCUCUGGGAGCGGGGGACCACCAGGUUGCCUAAGGAGGGGUGAACCAGCCCAGGUCGGAAAAAGCUUAGAGCUAGGUGUGGUGGUACAAGUCUUUAAUCCCAGCACUACAGAGGCAGAGGCCAGCCUGGUCUACAGAUAAAGUUUCA